GUCAGUCUCUCUUUUCCCUCCUGGCACUUUCAGGAACAGAUUUGCAUUUCCUAAUUGUUUGGCUCGCCUGUGGCAGAGAAUCUUAUUUCUUCGUGGCUCUGACAGCAUAGGCUUGAUCUGCAGUCCCUGAGCUUGAUUCCACUGAUAGCAUCACCUGCUGUGAAGGAUUGUAAAAUGAAAGCUGUAACUCCAGACAGAUCUCGCUCUCCUGCCUGCCAAAACUGCUUUUUGAUGGCUGCUACUGUAACACGCUGCCGCAGAUCAGCCUAGCACUGGAUGCCCCUCUGACACUGCUGCCAUACUUCCAUGGCUCAUACAUCAUCUCCUGCUUGAAGGACUCCAUGUGGACACUACUUCUCUGCCCUGCUCAGAACCCAGCUGCCACCUAUCUUCCUUCUACACAACACAUAGUGUGUAAUACAACCCCAAGUUUGAAACAACCUUGUCUUUUGUAUGGAAGAAUUUACCAAGGAUGAAAAACUCCAUCUGGAUACAGAGCAAAGAAUAAGGAAUUGUGGUUCCACUGAAUUCCAUGGGAUGUGAGAGCAGUGAGGCUGUAACACAACCUUGCUUUUUCUCCUAAAAGGUGAUCCUGGAAACACUGUGAUGCGCCAGACUAAAGGAACUGAGAUAUGGCUCCUGAAAGCCAUUCUCAGUGACGGUGGCAUGAGGUGCUACUGGCCUUCCUGUAUGCCCUGGUGUCCCACUGCAGCAGGGAUCUUGGCCACAACUGAGAGGGCAGGAGUAGAGGUGUUCCUCACCUUGUCAGGGCAGAAGCUGAGCUGCAACCUCCACUCACAGAAUGAGAAGAGACCUUUACACAGGCAGCAGUGGUAUUUCAGGAAGGUGAUUUCAACCCCAAGCACGAAAAGCGAAUCCCCAAACUCAUCUAAGGAUGGGCCACUUGGGAUUUACAUCUCCUGCAGUGAGGAAAUGCUUCCCUCAACUUCCCUCAACAAGAACAACUUGCACUUGGAAGUUGUGCUGGGACUGAUUGAAGAGAUAGACUCACAACAGAACUGUGGUUACUUUAUCAUUUCAUGCACAAGUGAUUUCAGCUCCCUGCACCUCUCAGAGUGCUA